GAGUGAGACCAAAGUCCUCUUUGUCUGGCUGGUUUGGUUUGCCUUAGAGAUGGAAAAACCCCAGCCUUUGGCUGUAACUGCCCUGUUGGAGCAAUUUGUCCUAAAUUGGCACUCUCAGUUGGGUCCCUCCAGAACUGCAUUGUUACAGACACCACAGGUUUUUGUGGUUUUUUUAAAUUUUUUUAUUGGCCUCCAGAAAGUGUCCCACAAUUCCUAUGCUGCUGCUCUGGUCAGUAGUUUGAACUCUGCUGCCCUGCAGCCAAUCCACCCCUCCCCCUUGCAAGCCCUGGGAAUUUUAAAUCUCGUUUCCUGCUUGCUGGCUUCCCAGAGGAGCUUCCCAGGUAAGCAUAACUGGUUAUUGCACCAAACCCCCUCCCGCUUGGACCACUACUGAGUUGUUGGAUCUAAUCAGUAUAUGGGGAGAAGUCUGUUCAGUCGCAGCUGCGAGUUACCCAUAGGAAUCAGGACACAUAUGGGCAAAUUUCUCAAGGCUUGUGCGAAAAGGGCUAUGAUCAGGACAUGCAGCAAUGCAGAGUGAAGAUAAAGGAGCUGAGUCAGGUGUACCAUAAGGCGCGGGAGGCGAACCAUCGCUUCGGUGGUGCACCUAAGACCUGCCACUUCCAUAAGGAUCUAAAUGCUAUCCUUGGUGGUGACCCCACCUCCAUCACCGAUAGCCCCAUGGAUACUUCGCAGGCAGCAGAAAGAGGGGGUAACCCGGAGGCUGAAAUUCUGGAUGAAGAAGUUGAGCUAGAAGAGGAGGUGGCGCUCCCAGUGGGCAGGCAGCCAGGAACUUUUCUCCACUCCAGAAGUGCUCAGCGGGGAGCAGGAAGCAGAUGAGACACCAGACCUUGACGAACACCCCAUGCACCCCCGCAGACCGGUUCGGCAGAUAAGGGAGAACCCUCGUCACAGCAAAGAAGACCUGUUCCAGGAGGUGCUGCAGCACAAUGAGAGACAGACCAGGGAACGCAAAGAGUGCUGGGAAGCCAA